rnacentral:rRNA from 1 species
GAUGAACGCUGGCGGCGUGCCUAAUACAUGCAAGUCGAGCGAACGGACGAGAAGCUUGCUUCUCUGAUGUUAGCGGCGGACGGGUGAGUAACACGUGGAUAACCUACCUAUAAGACUGGGAUAACUUCGGGAAACCGGAGCUAAUACCGGAUGAUAUUUUGAACCGCAUGGUUCAAAAGUGAAAGACGGUCUUGCUGUCACUUAUAGAUGGAUCCGCGCUGCAUUAGCUAGUUGGUAAGGUAACGGCUUACCAAGGCAACGAUGCAUAGCCGACCUGAGAGGGUGAUCGGCAACACUGGAACUGAGACACGGUCCAGACUCCUACGGGAGGCAGCGUAGGGAAUCUUCCGCAAUGGGCGAAAGCCUGACGGAGCAACGCCGCGUGAGUGAUGAAGGUCUUCGGAUCGUAAAACUCUGUUAUUAGGGAAGAACAUAUGUGUAAGUAACUGUGCACAUCUUGACGGUACCUAAUCAGAAAGCCACGGCUAACUACGUG